rnacentral:rRNA from 1 species
GAUGAACGCUGGUGGCGUGCCUAAUACAUGCAAGUCGAGCGAACAGAUGAGGAGCUUGCUCCUCUGACGUUAGCGGCGGACGGGUGAGUAACACGUGGAUAACCUACCUAUAAGACUGGGAUAACUUCGGGAAACCGGAGCUAAUACCGGAUAAUAUAUUGAACCGCAUGGUUCAAUAGUGAAAGACGGUUUUGCUGUCACUUAUAGAUGGAUCCGCGCCGCAUUAGCUAGUUGGUAAGGUAACGGCUUACCAAGGCGACGAUGCGUAGCCGACCUGAGAGGGUGAUCGGCCACACUGGAACUGAGACACGGUCCAGACUCCUACGGGAGGCAGCAGUAGGGAAUCUUCCGCAAUGGGCGAAAGCCUGACGGAGCAACGCCGCGUGAGUGAUGAAGGUCUUCGGAUCGUAAAACUCUGUUAUUAGGGAAGAACAAAUGUGUAAGUAACUAUGCACGUCUUGACGGUACCUAAUCAGAAAGCCACGGCUAACUACGUG